rnacentral:rRNA from 1 species
CCUGGCGGCACUAGCGCGGUGGUCCCACCUGACCCCAUGCCGAACUCAGAAGUGAAACGCAGUAGCGCCGAUGGUAGUGUGGGGUCUCCCCAUGCGAGAGUAGGGAACUGCCAGGC